CCAAUGAAGAAGUAGGCAACAACUUGUUUCCAUCUUGUUGUCAAACCACAUAACAUGAAAACCAUGGCAUGUGUUGCCAUUGUGUCUUGCAUGUCUUUUUCAUUGCUGCCCGGGAUAGUGCAAAGGCCGAUGACUGACUCAGUUCUUGUGUCAAAAUCAUAUGAUGGAAUGAUUGCCAUUUCGUCAAGCAAAAGAACACAGUCUCUUUCUUGAUCUCCCAUGGAGGAAGCCUUUCAAUGCAAAUUAACCUUCAGUAUACAAUAUUUUGUAUGUUUACCUUCAAUUGCAAGGGUGCAAAAACCUCAUUUGUAAGACCCGAGGAAAAUUCAAUGUGCUCCAUGAUAAAA